CCUACGAGAGGCAGCAGUGGGGAAUAUUGGGCAAUGGGCGCAAGCCUGACCCAGCAACGCCGCGUGAAGGAAGAAGGCGUUCGGGUUGUAAACUUCUUUUAAGGGGGAAGAGCAGAAGACGGUACCCCUUGAAUAAGCCACGGCUAACUACGUGCCAGCAGCCGCGGUAAUACGUAGGUGGCAAGCGUUGUCCGGAUUUACUGGGUGUAAAGGGCGUGCAGCCGGGGAGACAAGUCAGAUGGGAAAUCCCAGGGCUCAACCGCGGAACUGCAUUUGAAACUGUUUCUCUUGAGUUACGGAGAGGUCAUCGGAAUUCCUUGUGUAGCGGUGAAAUGCGUAGAUAUAAGGAAGAACACCAGUGGCGAAGGCGGAUUACUGGACGGCAACUGACGGUGAGGCGCGAAAGCGUGGGGAGCAAACAGGAUUAGAUACCCUUGUAGUC
rnacentral:rRNA from 1 species